AGGAAAUAAAAAAGGAUGACCAAAUAUUAAUUGAUAGUGACUCAGAUGUAUCCAACCCAUUCACUGCAUACCAACAAUUUUAUUUAAAGUUGUUUCUGGAAAGGAAGAAACCUUCAGAGAGUCUGUAUGAAAGUGAGACAUUGAUGCUGCUGGAGCAACAGUUUGAAAAGACUUGUCAUGGAAUCUCAGCUUACACGUGUAGAUAAUUUCAGGGAGAGAAGACUACUGACUCUGUUGAAGAUGAACCUCCUUGGACAGUGUGGGUGAUAAAUGUCUGAAGGAGAAAGUGAAUAUUCUUGUAGCUCUAGAAGAACUUUGGUCAGCUGUGAGAGUAAAGUGUAGUCUCCAAAAUGCACAACAAGAUAUAUCCAAUAAAAUAAAAUUACUAGAAGAAAGAAAAGAGAAACAUCGCAUAAAUACACCUUUGAAUAAUGAAAAUAAUAAUGCCCAAAGUUCAGAAGGUAUAACAAUUCCAUUAAUAAAAAACAAGGAAAAAAUACAUGAUUCAGCAAGAAAUAUUCAGUUAGGUGCCAAAAAGCUGUUCACAGAGAUGCCUUUCCUGAUUCAAAAUUACAUUCCCAGUGAUGAAGGCUGGAUAUAUCAGAUACUCCUGCGUUUGAAUGCUCUUGACAUUGGCGACUUUAUAAAAUCUGUAUUUUCAGUAAUGGCAACUGUAAGCAGAAAGGUAAGAGUUAUUUGUUAUUU
rnacentral:lncRNA from 1 species